GACAGAGGCCUCAAGCGUUAGGCGGAAUCACUGGGCUUAAAGCGUGUGUAGGCGGAUCGUUAAGUGCCUUGUGAAAUCCCACGGCUUAACUGUGGAACGGCUGGGCAUACUGGCGGUCUUGAGCCAUCUAGGGGCGACUGGAACAAACGGUGGAGCGGUGAAAUGCGUAGAUAUUGUUUGGAACGCCAAUGGUGAAAACAGGUCGCUGGGGAUGAGCUGACGCUGAGACACGAAAGCCAGGGGAGCAAACGGG
rnacentral:rRNA from 1 species